GAUGAACGCUAGCUACAGGCUUAACACAUGCAAGUCGAGGGGAAACGAUAGAGAAAGCUUGCUUUUUCUAGGCGUCGACCGGCGCACGGGUGAGUAACGCGUAUCCAACCUGCCCACCACUUGGGGAUAACCUUGCGAAAGUAAGACUAAUACCCAAUGACGUCUCUAGAAGACAUCUGAAAGGGAUUAAAGAUUUAUCGGUGAUGGAUGGGGAUGCGUCUGAUUAGCUUGUUGGCGGGGUAACGGCCCACCAAGGCGACGAUCAGUAGGGGUUCUGAGAGGAAGGUCCCCCACAUUGGAACUGAGACACGGUCCAAACUCCUACGGGAGGCAGCAGUGAGGAAUAUUGGUCAAUGGGCGAGAGCCUGAACCAGCCAAGUAGCGUGCAGGAUGACGGCCCUAUGGGUUGUAAACUGCUUUUAUAAGGGAAUAGAGUGAGUCUCGUGAGACUUUUUGCAUGUACCUUAUGAAUAAGGACCGGCUAAUUCCGUGCCAGCAGCCGCCGUAAGAC
rnacentral:rRNA from 1 species